rnacentral:rRNA from 1 species
AAUGAACGCUGGCGGCAGGCCUAACACAUGCAAGUCGAACGCUGUAGCAAUACAGAGUGGCAGACGGGUGAGUAACGCGUGGGAACCUUCCCAAUGGUACGGAAUAGCCCAGGGAAACUUGGGGUAAUACCGUAUACGCCCCUAGGGGGAAAGAUUUAUCGCCAUUGGAUGGGCCCGCGUCGGAUUAGCUAGUUGGUGAGGUAAUGGCUCACCAAGGCAACGAUCCGUAGCUGGUUUGAGAGAAUGACCAGCCACACUGGGACUGAGACACGGCCCAGACGCCUACGGGAGGCAGCAGUGGGGAAUCUUGGACAAGGGGCGCAAGCCUGAUCCAGCCAUGCCGCGUGAGUGACGAAGGCCUUAGGGUUGUAAAGCUCUUUUGCCGGGGACGAUAAUGACGGUACCCGGAGAAUAAGUCCCGGCUAACUUCGUGCCAGCCGCCGCCGUAA